UAUCGCCCGUCGCUCUCGAUUCGAGAUAAGUCGUAACAUAGUAGGGGUACCGGAAGGUGUC
rnacentral:rRNA from 1 species